CACACACACACACACACACACACUCAGGAUUCCUCUUUCAGUGGGAAGAGAAGAAACUGACAAAGAGACCAUUCACACACACAUACACACACACCCAGAGAGACAGGCAGAAUGAGAGCAAACACACACACACACACACACACACACUGCAGAAUCUCUGAAUGAUUUGAUAAGUUAAUAAGCAGCUGAGUAUCUUUAGAGCAGUGUGUUUCUCUGUGUGUGUGUUUGCGCAUCAGACUGACUGUGACAUCACCAGUGCUAUAUAUGACCACACCCCCUUUCCUCAAGGCCCCUCCCCCUCAGCCUCUCUCAGCUCUCGCCCACCCCUCAUUCUCUCAUUCUGACGCUCUGUCGACUCUGGUGUGUGUUUUUGUGUGACUCUGAGCUGCGCUUAAAGCUAUACAUUACACACACACACACACACACACCCAUGGUGACCUUUGAACUUUGAACCCUUGAGUCAGUCAGCUGGGUGAAGAGUCCUCUCUGUGCUGCUGUGUGUGACUACAGCUGAUCUCCGGAGCUGACAUUAGGUUCAAGGAAUGCAGAAUAUUCCUUCUUUUUCCUUGUGUCUGUGUGUGUGUGUGUGUGUGUGUCAUUGAGAAAGAGCCUCACAUAUUGAGUUUAACAGACCCGUGGUUUAUAAAGAUUACAGUGUGUGUGUGUGUGUGUGUGUGUGUGUGUGUGUGUUUCAUUUAUUUUCAGUGAUUGUGUGUGAUUCUCUAUCAGUUCUGUUACUGAUGGACGAAGUGUUUGUAGUGUUUACAUUAAACUGAACAU